CCUACGGGAGGCAGCAGUAGGGAAUCUUGCACAAUGGGGGAAACCCUGAUGCAGCGACGCCGCGUGAGUGAAGAAGGAAUUCGGUAUGUAAAGCUCUAUCAGCAGGGAAGAAAAUGACGGUAACUGAGUAAGAAGCCCCGGCUAACUACGUGCCAGCAGCCGCGGUAAUACGUAGGGGGCAAGCGUUAUCCGGAUUUACUGGGUGUAAAGGGAGCGUAGACGGCAGUGCAAGUCUGGAGUGAAAGGCGGGGGCUCAACCCCCGGACUGCACGGGAAACUGUACGGCUGGAGUGCAGGAGAGGUAAGUGGAAUUCCUAGUGUAGCGGUGAAAUGCGUAGAUAUAAGGAGGAACACCAGUGGCGAAGGCGGCUUACUGGACUGUAACUGACGUUGAGGCUCGAAAGCAUGGGGAGCAAACAGGAUUAGAUACCCUUGUAGUC
rnacentral:rRNA from 1 species